ACUUCCCGCUCUUCUUCUUCUGAAAAAUUUCAAAAAACUUUGAAAUGAAAUAAGGCUGCACAUGUCAGUCACACCAUCAAUUGGAAAGGGAAAUAUUAAAAAAAUAAUAAUAAAAAAUCCCUAUCUCUUCUCAUUUUUCUCUUUCACUUCUUUACUCCUUGCUUCCGUCUUCUUCAUCUCUCUUGAAAUUUUUUUAUCCCACUUUUCUUUCUACAUCUUCUGCAUCAGCAUCUGAAGGUUUGCUUUUGAAAGAGCCAUGGGAAGUAGAAUUCGGUGCUAAAUCUGAAGAUCGCUGACCCUAAGAUCCACAGAUUUGCGUUAAGAGUAAAGCAGACCAUGAAAGGAAGAUGGAGAGCAUGUGGAAGAAGACUAUUAGGCAUGAUGAUGAAGAUAAUGGUCUGUUAUGGUAGAGCCAUUAUAUGGUUCUUCAAGUACAACAUUGAUUUACGGAAAAUAUUGGCUCACUCUAAAGGAUGCUUUCUAUUUGGUCAUUAUUAGUAUACUUAUAAUUGGAUUUCUCAUGUUUGUUUAGUUGCUACUAUAAUUUAUA